UACGAAGGGUGCAAGCGUUAAUCGGAAUUACUGGGCGUAAAGCGUGCGUAGGCGGUUGCUUAAGUCAGAUGUGAAAGCCCUGGGCUCAACCUGGGAACUGCAUUCAAAACUGACAAGCUAGAGUAUGGUAGAGGGUGGUGGAAUUUCCUGUGUAGCGGUGAAAUGCGUAGAUAUAGGAAGGAACACCAGUGGCGAAGGCGACCACCUGGACUGAUACUGACACUGAGGUGCGAAAGCGUGGGGAGCAAACAGG
rnacentral:rRNA from 1 species